rnacentral:misc_RNA from 1 species
GGGUUGUUGGUGUUUGAUGAUCUUCACAGAAUCCUCUGUUUUUCCCAGAUGAAUUUUGAGAUAGAAGUUCAAGAAAAGCAGUAAAAUAGCUCCGUUGAGAACAGAAUUGAAACCCCAAGCUCCAAUUCCAUUGCAUCCACCUUUCAUGAAAUGAAGCAUUAAAACCCCCACAUGGCAGGCUAAAUUACAACCCAACAGAACGAAUUGACAAUUCACAACAAAAGGGAAACAAGCCCUUCGUAAUCCAAUCGCCGUCCAGAAUCUGUAGCCGUA